AUUGAACGCUGGCGGCAUGCCUUACACAUGCAAGUCGAACGGUAACAGGUCUUCGGAUGCUGACGAGUGGCGAACGGGUGAGUAAUACAUCGGAACGUGCCCGAUCGUGGGGGAUAACGCAGCGAAAGCUGUGCUAAUACCGCAUACGAUCUACGGAUGAAAGCGGGGGAUCGCAAGACCUCGCGCGGACGGAGCGGCCGAUGGCAGAUUAGGUAGUUGGUGGGAUAAAAGCUUACCAAGCCGACGAUCUGUAGCUGGUCUGAGAGGACGACCAGCCACACUGGGACUGAGACACGGCCCAGACUCCUACGGGAGGCAGCAGUGGGGAAUUUUGGACAAUGGGCGCAAGCCUGAUCCAGCCAUGCCGCGUGCAGGAUGAAGGCCUUCGGGUUGUAAACUGCUUUGUACGGACGAAAAGCUCUCUCUAAUACAGGGGUGAAUGACGGUACCGUAAGAAUAAGCACGGCUAACUACGUGCCAGCACGG
rnacentral:rRNA from 1 species